GAUGAACGCUAGCGGCAGGCUUAACACAUGCAAGUCGAGGGGCAGCACGGGUAGCAAUACCUGGUGGCGACCGGCGCAAGGGUGCGUAACGCGUGAGCAACAUGCCCUAUACAGGGGGAUAAUCCAGGGAAACUUGGUCUAAUAUCCCAUAGUAUUUAGAGGAGGCAUCUUCUAUAAAUUAAAGCUUCGGUGGUAUAGGAUUGGCUCGCGUGACAUUAGCUAGAUGGUGAGGUAACGGCUCACCAUGGCAAUGAUGUCUAGGGGUUCUGAGAGGAAGGCCCCCCACACUGGGACUGAGACACGGCCCAGACUCCUACGGGAGGCAGCAGUGAGGAAUAUUGGACAAUGGAUGGAAAUCUGAUCCAGCCAUGCCGCGUGCAGGAAGACAGCCCUAUGGGUUGUAAACUUCUUUUCUGUCAGAAGAAUAAGCUUGUCGAGACGAGUGAUGCCGGUAUGACAGGAAUAAGC
rnacentral:rRNA from 1 species